CGAACAUCCAUUAUAUCAUUUGAUAUUUAGAUUUCUAAUAAUUUUAAAUAUAGCUGUACAUAUUUGUAUUGUUUAUGUUCAAACUCAAUAUAAAAAUCGUCGAUAUGUACGAUGCUUUGUGUGACAAUCAAUUAGUGUGUUUCCCUUGCCGACUACAACAGAGCGUGAAAGGGAGAGCCGUUGCACUUCAUACGCAUAGAAAGUUUCACACCUGUACUCCAGUCGACAGCAUUACAAGAUGACCGGCACCUACUCGUUCAUUCGACAGUUACUCUACUACCAGCGGAACACAUCCGUCCGACAUUCGACAUGAUUAGCGGACUGAACACGGCGUCGCACAUCACCCCUUUGUUGGAGUACAUGUACAACACAUGGAUAAACUCAACGGUGAGGCCUGUCGAGUCCUGGUCUGUAUAUGGACACACCGUGCGAACCAUCAAUGACGUGGAAGAGAUGCAGUACCUUCUACAAGACGGUGGUAGCCAAGAGAACAGAAGAAAAUCCAGUGAAUCCAGUGAAUUAGGAUAAUGAACAUUGCCGGUCUUGGUCGAUACAAUACAUGUGUUAUGGUAUGUUAUUUAGAUAUCAAUUCAGAUAUCGAUUUCGAUUUGCGUUUUUAAUACAUUUUAGCAAUUGUCAACUAUUUAAAAACUGAUUGAUAAAAGGAGAAAUGACUCUUACUCAUAAUCUUAGUCAUUUAUCUCUUGUUAAUUAUUAAGUAUGAUUAUGUAACAUGUAUAUCGUCAUGCGCAUUUUUCAUACAUUUUUAACAAUUGUCAA